UCCGGCAAAAAUACCCUAAAAGCACCAGAUCCUAUCUGAUCUUGGAAACUAAGUAGGACCAGCCCUGGUUAGUACUUGGAUGGGAGAUUACCAACAAAUACCAGAUUUUGUAGGUG
rnacentral:rRNA from 1 species